rnacentral:sRNA from 1 species
GAUCGACCGAGUGCUAAUUUCCGGCGUGGAGUGGGCGUGACCGGCGAGCUGAGCUGAUCAGGGCACAAAUGUCGCCGGCAAGGGGCAACGUACGCUUAAUUGAUUUGGUGUAAAUCAUGGAAAAUUUUGCCCACUUACCGCGCUGGACUUUUCCUUUGGCACACUUGGACUCGAAUCUGCUGAGGUAGCCGCAAGACUUGUCUAAUCGCCCCGUGUGUGGUCACCAAUAACAGCACCCGUCAAAUUAAUUGCGACGCGCUGCGGGAGAACUUACACUUGAAACACUUAAACUUAUCACAGGCACAUAAUGCAAUUGCAUUUCGAUAAGCACAUUGGCUAAAUAUUGCACUCAACACGCGAAAUUGACGUUAUUUGGCUAAGUACGGCAUAUACAACACUUUUAAUUUGAUUUUACAAAGCGCAACUAAACAAAUUACUUUUUACGCGUCAACAACUUUUGGCGGCAAUAAGCUGUUGUUGCUGUUGUUGUUGUUGCCAGCCGUUCUAAAUUUUGGCGCAGGGUCGCUUUGUUGUCGCGUGGUCGGUCACACCGCCCACGCAACAAAUGGGCAACCUUGGCUCCGAUCAACUGUGUCACGUGCGCCAAUUUGAGUCAGAUUAACAGUUAGAUUAAUUGAAAAGUGAAAAC